rnacentral:rRNA from 1 species
AUGACUAGUGAUAACCUUAGAAAGAGACACAUCAUCAAACCCCUUAAUUGUGUUUACAGCUUGGAACAAGAGUCUUGUUCUCACCUAUUUUUUGAAUGUAUAGUUGCUAAACAUCUCUAGGCCCACAUUGAGGAAUAUUUCUCUAGUCAGAUUGGCUCAUCCUUCGAAUCUGUCGCCAGAUUCUGGAUUGCUACCAAAAAGUGCUCAGUUUUAAACAUUGUUAGCUCAGCUGUCCUUUGGUUCCUCUGGAAAUAUAGAAAUGCUAUGAUUUUCAGUAACACAUCCUAGAUUUCCAUUCCACAGGUCUUGAGGUUGAUCAAGAACAUGAUGAGGAACUGGGCGAUUCUCUCCUCUGGAUCGGACAAGGACAAGUUGACGAGCUUCGUGGAAACCCUAACAAGAUCCCUCCAGAAACCGUUGGCGAUCACUUUGUGGCUGAACAAGGCUCGAUCUGCUCUGGGGCUGGACCCGUGGGCUCGUCUCAAGGUCUCUGAUGAAGAUGAUGGUCACCUGGCACCAAAAAAGAGGGACAUCCACCAUGCUACGCCUUCCAGCCCGGAGUCUCCGCUUGCUUACUGGUCGCCGCAGGCUGACACGGCCCCUCAGCUGAAGACCAUGAAGGCUUCGUUGGACCCUCCUUGUGUCAUUUGA